rnacentral:lncRNA from 12 species
CCCAUGAAAAAAAAUGACCAGAAAAAAAAAGAGUUUAAUCAUUUUGAAUGUCAUCAUUUUCUAAACCUCCAAUUGGAUUUAGUCACUAAGUGUCUAUGGUUAUUGAAAACACCAAAAGAGAAAUAGCCCAACAUUAAGUGUUUCCUGAUAGGAGAAUUCACCAUCUUGCCAACACAAUCAAACCUGAAUUCAGUCAAGCCUCUAGAGCUAACUUCAAUUUAUAGGAAAUUUAAAACACAAAGUAACAUGUUAAACAAUUUCACAAAGAUACAACCUGCACAAUCCAGACUAUGGGCAACUCUAGAGACAUAUAUCAGCCAAUCACAAAAUAUGACUUAUUUGAAUCUUGAUUCAAAUAAAUGGAAAGAGAAAAAAUAUAUAAGCUAUUAUGAUGGCUAUAAAUAAGUAAUUGGUUAGGUCAAAGAUCUUGAAAAUUUCUAUUUUCCUCUGUUAAAAAGAUAUAUGCCUAUCCAAGGAAAACAUAAUUUUGGUCAGAGUAGUAAUUAGCAUGGUCAGUAUAAACCACAUUCCCAUAGAAAUACAACCUUUUCUCUUACAUUGUUAUAGAAGCAUUUUAUUAGUUGUGAUAAUUUAUGUUUUUAAUCUUUUCAGUUAAUAUACCCAGAGGCAAUGGAAUUGGAGCAGUAAGGAGGAAGAAAUGAAUACAAUAUUAUGCAUAAAUCCAAAAGCAUUAAAAAGCAACUCUAUUCUUUGGUCUCUGAAAUCAAGCUCUGACGCCUCCAGGGUCACCAGACAGUGCUGGCACUGGAACUUCCAGGUUUCCAAUUCUGAGCCUUUGGAUAUUUCACGCAAAGGUAAUUCUUUUUUAUUCUGAGUUAUCAAGCCAAUUUUCACCUCUUUACUUGAAAGCUGUCCUUUCUCACUGGGAGAAAAAAAAAUAACCAUUAUUUCCCUACCAGAACUCUUCUUUGAUGCAGUAAAUAACUAUAUACAUGAAAAAGAUACUAGGCUCCUUUUUAUUUUGUUCUAUAAGGAAAUAACAGUCCAUAGCCAUACCUGUGCACUGUCUUCCCAUCUGAUUUGAAGUCAUACUUAACUCUGUUUAUGUCACGUUAUGUCAUGCUCUCAGCAUGGGGAAUUAUAAUCUUUACUGGUAUACUAAGUAAUUAAAACAUUUUUAAUGCCCACCUCGCUAACUCUUCUAAGUCCAUUGCAAUAAUACCUCAUUUUAAACAAGUAAAUGAUUUUUUCACAUUUCAAGGAUGCACAUAAAACUAAAACAUAUUUAUUUCCUUCUCUAGGACUCAUACGCAAUGCUAUUUUGGUCCCUUUUAAAGAGUAGAAUUGAAUAAUUCUUCCAGGAGACAUCUUCUCCCUUACAGAAUGUAUGAAGAGCUAAAAUUUCUCUUAAUGAAAUAUCACUCAUCUUUGAAACUCAUUAUUACUUAUUUACUAAAACUUCACCAUUUCAGUAGAUUUUUUCAUUAAUUUUGAAGCUAUUAAUAAAAAGAAUGAAGAGAUCUAACA